rnacentral:tRNA from 1 species
UCCAGGGUAGCCUAGUGGACAUGGCACCUGCCCGGUAAGCAGAAGGUUGUGGGUUCUAUUCCCGCCCCUGGAC